rnacentral:tRNA from 1 species
CUCUCUAUAGCUCAGCUGGAAGAGCGAAGGACUGUAAUCGUGAUGGAGACAUCCUUAGGUCGCCCGUUCGAUCCGGGCUGGAGAGA